GGGGUUGUGGCUCAGUGGUAGAGCGCUUGCCUAGCAUGUAUGAGGCACUGGGUUUGAUCCUCAGCACCACA
rnacentral:tRNA from 1 species